AUUGAACGCUGGCGGCAUGCCUUACACAUGCAAGUCGAACGGCAGCACGGGAGCAAUCCUGGUGGCGAAUGGCGAACGGGUGAGUAAUAUAUCGGAACGUGCCCAGUCGUGGGGGAUAACGCAGCGAAAGCUGUGCUAAUACCGCAUACGAUCUCUGGAUGAAAGCGGGGGACCUUCGGGCCUCGCGCGAUUGGAGCGGCCGAUAUCAGAUUAGCUAGUUGGUGGGGUAAAAGCCCGCCAAGGCGACGAUCUGUAGCUGGUCUGAGAGGACGACCAGCCACACUGGAACUGAGACACGGUCCAGACUCCUACGGGAGGCAGCAGUGGGGAAUUUUGGACAAUGGGCGCAAGCCUGAUCCAGCAAUGCCGCGUGCAGGAUGAAGGCCUUCGGGUUGUAAACUGCUUUUGUACGGAACGAAACGGCUCCCUCUAAUACGGGGGGCUAAUGACGGUACCGUAAGAAUAAGCACCGGCUAACUACGUGCCAGCAGCCGCGGUAAUACGUAGGGUGCGAGCGUUAAUCGGAAUUACUGGGCGUAAAGCGUGCGCAGGCGGUUAUAUAAGACAGAUGUGAAAUCCCCGGGCUCAACCUGGGACCUGCAUUUGUGACUGUAUAGCUAGAGUACGGUAGAGGGGGAUGGAAUUCCGCGUGUAGCAGUGAAAUGCGUAGAUAUGCGGAGGAACACCGAUGGCGAAGGCAAUCCCCUGGACCUGUACUGACGCUCAUGCACGAAAGCGUGGGGAGCAAACAGGAUUAGAUACCCUGGUAGUCCACGCCCUAAACGAUGUCAACUGGUUGUUGGGUCUUCACUGACUCAGUAACGAAGCUAACGCGUGAAGUUGACCGCCUGGGGAGUACGGCCGCAAGGUUG
rnacentral:rRNA from 1 species